UUGAAAUAUCCGUAAACAUCAAACUCUUUUAAAUCCACCAUAAAAACCUAACACAAAGCUUUUUGGCGAAGAUGAGCUCACGAAAUUAUAUGCUAAAGGAAAUUAAUUAGGACUAAAUCUUUAUGAAUGUGGUUUUAUUUGGUAAAUAUAAAACGUUUAUAUUGUUGAAUAUUUUAUUACUGCAUUACUUUCCAUCUUUCCUACGAUAAGAAGCGCAUUUUAUGAAAAAGUAUGCAAAUCAUUGCUAUAUGAAAUGUUUAUAUAAUUACAAAUAACCGCCUUUACAUCAGUGGCAUAAGCCGUGUAACCCCUGGCAUGGAUAAAAUGUUCAUAUCUACACGAAUAAGAGCGAACGGAGAAACGGACAGUCACUAAAUACUGUGCGAUAGCGGGAAUGACACCAAUGGACACAUUGAAAAUUAAGAAUCCGCAGAAUGGAUGAAGAAAAUGUUCCAGGACGCUUACCUGCAACAUUGACAUUACAACGGAUGAAAGCUUUUUAUGAACGAAGAAAGAGUCUAUGGUGUGGAAAAACACGAUAUUCGCCUCCUCCUAAGAAAGCGAGGAUAUCCAAAUCAUCAACGAAGAUCAAGUACAUAUUCCUCAUGGACAGCCAGUGAAAGCUCCUGCAACAUGCUGUACAUAGCGGCCAGUCAAUAAAAUUACUAUCAAAAGUAGGUUACAUCAACAUAUAAAUUAUGAUCUCUACAAAAUAUUAUGAAAUUUAAUAGUUAUUUCUAAUUGAUUCACUGCAUUUUGAAUAUUAUGAUUUGGGUUCAUACUGAAUUAGCAUAUAUCUCACGAAUGCUUUGAGAAAGACACGUCCGGAAAUUGAAAAUUUAAUCUUUCAUCAAAACAACGCCUCUGCACAUUGGGCUGAAGUCACAUCACUAACAAUAUAUUUGUUAGGGUAUGAAAGACUGCAAGACUUUAUUAUUAUUAUUGUAUCAUUAUUAUUUGUAUUAUUAUUAUUUAUUAUUAAUAUUAGUAGUAGUAGUAGUAGUAGUAGUAGUAGUAGUAGUAGUAGUAGUAGUAGUAGUGGUAGUAGUAGUAGUAGUAGUAGUAGUAGUAGUAGUAGUAGUAGUAGUAGUACCAAAGGAAAGGAAUGGUUGAUGUGUGUCCACAAUUAAUGCAAGAAACUACCAAAUCAUUUUACUUCAAUGAAAAUUUCAAACUGUUUACAGCGUUCUUUCUUAACAAACAUACAGUUUUGUAUAGAGCAUGUCUUUUUGAAUGCAUGUAUGUUUUUGCAUAUAUUUUGUUUUAAAUGAGGUAUCAAAUUUAAGGAAUACUAAAUUUGAACACUUGAUUUAAACGCAAACUAAACAAAUCUCAUCAUACACUGACAGAAGGAAGUUAUUGGUUUAACGACGCUGACAUGGUGAAAUAAUACCAACAAUUAUAAGGGAUUCUCAGAUACAUUUCAUUUCUUAUUUUUUGAGAUAAUUUAUUUUGUUUAUACAAAUGGUGACAUAAUUGUCUUAAAGAGUCUAUAUAUGAUGUGCAAACAAAAGAAGAAAUUGCUGCAAACCAAAUUUUCGAACUUAUUGAGUAGAUAUAUAAAAGAAACCGAUAUUGCUUAAAUUAUUUAUUGCUUAAAUAUAAAAGAGCAAUAUAUGAGGAAUAAUGAACUAUUUUGAGUUUCUUUAGUGGAUUGCAUCUGUAUUAUGUAAUGAGUACCAUACAUGUUCGUUUUUUUUCGGCUGUGUCCUCACCCGCUUUACAUGUUCUAGCGAAUACCGAUACCACACACAAAAGGCAUUUCAGAUUGGGCAUACCAGCAAACUAUUCCUGAUAGCUUAUUAUUAUUAAUAUAUAUAUAUUGUAUUUAAUUUUAUAAUCUAGUUAUAAUUAAAUUUAUAUGAAUAUAUCAUAUGAAAUUAAUAAUAAUUUAAGUAAAUUUUAAUAUAAAUUAUAAAAUUCAAUUCUUAUUAUAUAUUAUAAAUACAAAUAUGAAUUAAAGCAUGAUAGCUUGUAUACACUUGGUAUAAAAUCAUUUCAUAAAUACCUUUUAAAUAAAGUCUGAUUUUCCUCAUUUCGUAUACACAUGGAAUAGAUUUUUGUACCUUAAUAUUUCAACUCAAGAAUAGAUCCAUAUUAUUCGUUUGAAACGAAUAUUGUAUAUUGGUAGGCAUAUAAUAGAAUUCUAGUUUUAAUUAUAUUUCAUACCUUAAUUUUUGUAAGCUUCAUAUUUAAAUUGUAUGAAUUUUUCAUAAGUGCAGCAUAAUGUGAUAAGAAAAAAUCAUACUCAAAUGAAUAAAUUAUUAUUUUUUUACAAUUGAUUACAGGUAUUACAAAUGAAACAGAGGGUUUUGAUAGUUGUCAUCUCUGUAACAGCUGGACCGAUGUUCCGGCCGACAUUAUUUCAUCAAGAAGGAUACAUUCGAGCUCGUUUUUUAAAGCCCCAAUAUUUAUUUUGACUUGAUAGUUAUUCUGCAUUGAAGAAAUACUUACCAUGCUAUUCUUAUUUGAGUUUAAAUAUGUCGAAAGUAAAAUAUGGUUCAUUCCAAAAUAAGGACAAAAUAAAAUAUAUGCAUAGCC